UACGUAGGGGGCUAGCGUUGUCCGGAAUCAUUGGGCGUAAAGCGCGUGUAGGCGGUCCGGUAAGUCCGCUGUGAAAGUCGGGGGCUCAACCCUCGGAUGCCGGUGGAUACUGUCGGGCUUGAGUACGGAAGAGGCGAGUGGAAUUCCUAGUGUAGCGGUGAAAUGCGCAGAUAUCAGGAGGAACACCAAUUGCGAAGGCAGCUCGCUGGGACGUUACUGACGCUGAGACGCGAAAGCGUGGGGAGCAAACAGG
rnacentral:rRNA from 1 species